AGAGAGACGACGGCGACGGCGACGACGACGACGACGAUGGUGGGAGAUUGCGCAGGGCGUUCGAGAGCGAAACCCUAUUCCUCUUUCCCGAUUUCUUGUUCUUGAGUUCUUGAUGGAUGGGAUCGAUCGGUUCUACGGUAUAUUGCGGAAUCCAUGGAAGCCCGUGAUGGGGAGAGGGCCGGGAGCCGUCUUCGUCAACCUGGUCGUGAAACCGGACAAGAAGCUCAAUCAAGGAGGACGUCGCCAAACCCUAAUCUUCUUUCCCGAUUUCUUGUUCUUGAGUUCUUGAUGGGUGGGUUCCAUCGGUUCUACGGUACAUUGCAGAAUCCAUGGAAGCACGUGCUGGGGACGCGGCCGGGGCUCGUCUUCGUCAACCAGUUCGUAAAACCGGACGAGACGCUCGACAAGGCCAUGGCCACCGACUUCGAUUCCACCGGAGUGUUCCUGAUGGCAGUUUCAGGCGUAAAUCGGUGGGUGGCUGAGCACGGCGCAAAGUUGCUUUGGAGAUCUUAUCGAUCGAUUCUUGGAAUUGCUGAUGAAGUCACUCGAGUUAAUCGAGACUGCAGUUUUCUUUCCAGAGCCCGCCCUGUGAAUCUUCAGCGAAAUGCGGAGCAGCCGAUCCGAGACGUGCCGCGAGCUGGGCCGCUCGGCGGGAGUCGUCCUGGUGCAUUGCAAGGCCACAUCCAGCACAUCGUACAUGGACGACUCCCCGUGCGAUGCCAGCAGCCUCAGAGCAGGAUCCAGCAACUCCUCCCGCUCCGCCACCGACGACGAAGACGCCGACGCAACUCGAGACUGCACCCACCUCACCAUAUCCAUGUCUCCUCCGAAGGGAGUACGCAUAUUCUGCACAUAUAGCAGCAAUGGAAGUUUAGUCGAUGCAACAGUGACCGUGGUGGCCAGGUAUUCGACAAAAUACCUGGAGCCAUGUAGCCAUAUGAUCCGGCGAAGCAGGAGCCAGUCUCGGUGCCGUCCGUGACCGCCUUGGCCAGCCCGAAGUCUCCGAGAUGCGCCUCCAUGUCGCCGUCCAGCAGCACAUUGCUGGACUUGAUGUCCCUGUGAACGAUCCUCGGAACGCAGUCAUGGUGCAGGUACUCCACUCCUUUGGCGAGGCCGAUCGCAAUCUUCAACCUGGCCUCCCAAUUCAGCUCUCGCUUCCUCUUCUGGCUCACUCCCGGCUUGUGCAGCCAAUCCCACAAGCUGCCAUUCUCCAUGUACUCGUAGACCAACAGAUGCUCCCCGUCGUUGCUGCUGAGGAACCCCAGCAGCUUCACAAAGUGCCGGUGCCUGAUCCGGCCUAGUAUUUUCACCUCUCUCACGAAGCUCUUGUCCUGCAACAGAGAUUCCCUGUGCUGGUGCAGAAUCUUCUUCACGGCCACUGUCUCGCCGGACGGCAAUUCGGCUCUGUAGACGGUGCCCGACCCGCCUGAGCCGAUGACGAACUCGUCGCUCAGGUUGCACGUUGCUUCCAUGAUUGCGUCCCAUUUUAGCUCCCGCCUCCGGGACGCCUUCAUGAUCAGUUCUCUGUGAGCCUGCGAAGUACUCCUCGAGGAGUACGUGCAAUUGACCUCAAUCGUUCUCUUCGUACACCACCUUCUGAUCCAUAUCACCGCGGCGAUCAGGAGGAGAAUGAUCACCAGCGUCACGGAGGCAGAGAUCGCGGCUACAGCCGCAGAGCUUGACGUGGAGCGGUGGUGGGCGGACCGCGCAACGCCGCACGGUGGGAGAGGAUACCCGCAGAGUGCAAGGUUGGCGGCGAAGGACUGCGGCGGCCAGCGGGCGAAUCGCUCAUCCAGUUGCCCCUGCAGAUCGUUGUGCGAGAGGUCGAGCUCCACCAAGCUGCUCAUUUCACCUAUUUGUCGCGGCACCUCUCCCGCCAGCGAAUUGUGUGAGAGGUUGAGAUCUUCGAGCUUAGCAAGCGACGCGAGGGACGAUGGAAUCUCACCACUGAGGUCGUUGAAGCUGAGGUCCAACGCACUCUGUAGCUCCUGCAGUUGUCCGAGCUCCAUCAGGAUCGGCCCCGAGAACAGAUUGUGCGACAACCGGAGCUCAUAAAGCUUGCUUAGCCUCCCUAUGGAAGCAGGGAUUCCUCCAGAAAGCUGGUUGCGAGCAAAGUCGAGUACAUUCAGAGACGCAAGCUUGCCGACUUCGCUCGGGAGCGAACCAUUCAAUGAGUUAUCAUCGAGAGACAGCUUCAGUAGCUUGGAGCAAUUGAAGAGCUCGAUAGGAAGAGGCCCAAAGAAUCUGUUCGAAGAGAGCUUGAGCUCCCCCAGCUGCGGCAAGCUUCCGACCCACGUCGGGAUGACUCCAGUGAGCUGGUUAUUGUUCAGAACAAUGUGGGUGAGAUUCUUGCAUGACGCCAGUUCCUCCGGUAUCACUCCGGUCAGCGAAUUGCUCGACAGAUCCAAAAGCGAGAGAGCGCCGAUUUCUCCGAGCAUCGGCGGGAUCUCCCCAACCAGCCUGUUACUCCCGAGUCGAAUCCUCUCGAGCGCCGGCGAGUUCCCCAGCUGCGCCGGAAUCUCGAGGUUGAAUGAGUUGUUGGUGAGAUCGAACGACAGGAGCGAGCUCGAUCCGCAUAGCGGGAGGAUGCUUCCGUUGAACCGGUUGUUGGACAGGUUCACUCUGGUGAUAUUCCGGCAAUCGAACAUCUCUUCCGGGAUGCUUCCUUCGAGCGAAUUGUUGUACAGCAUGAGCUGCUGGAGCGAUUGCAGGAGACCUAAGGUCGCAGGAAUCCCGCCAGAGAGCCGGUUGUCGGCCAAGUCGAGAAUCGUGAGCUGCCGGCACCUUCCUAAUGACGCGGGGAUCUCACCGGAGAGGUCGUUCUGCCUCAGGUGCACGAAACUCAGCUGCUCCAGCCGCCCGAUCGACGCCGGAAUGCUGCCGGAAAACUGGUUCCCGUAGAAGUCGAUCAUUUGCAAGCUCGAACAGUUCCCGAUCGCCGGCGGGAUCUCGCCGGACAGCUGGUUCUCGUAGAGAUAAAGUAUCUGAAGCUGCUGCAACUUGCCGAUCUCCUCCGGCAGUCCGCCUCGCAACUCAUUGUGGUAGAGAGCCAGCGUCUGAAGGUUGCUGAGGUUGCCGAAUUCGCUAGGAAUCGAACCCCAGAGGCUGUUGUUAUUGAGCAAGAGAUCAGUAAGAUUGGCAAGCUCGCCGAGUUCGACGGGGAUCGCGCCGGUGAAGCUGUUGUUCGCCAAAUCCAAUUGCGUCAAGGACCGGCAUUGGACUAUGCUGGCUGGAAUUCGACCGGUGAAGUUGUUGCCAGACAGGAACAAGUGCUCUAAUUUCGUCGCAUUCAGGCAGAGGUUCUCCGGCAGGUGGCCAGAGAGCUUAUUGUUGGACAAGACUAGAUAAUUGAGUUCAUUGAGUUGUCCGAGCUCAGCCGGGAGCUCGCCUUCGAGCUGGUUCAUCGACAAGUCCAGAUUGCGAAGGCCGGAUAGUUUGCCGAGAGAACUUGGAAUGGUCCCUUCGAGCUGGUUGGACAUCAGGUUGAGGUAGGUGAGUUGGCUCAGCUCGCCGAGUUGACUCGGUAUUUCUCCCCCGAGCAAAUUGUCGGCCAGGUUUAGGAUCUGGAGAUUAUCCAAAUUGCCGACCUCCGGAGGGAUAGAGCCCUCUAGCUGGUUCUGUUGGAGGACCAGGUUGUGGAGCUGAGUCAGCCGGCCGAGUCGACUCGGAAUGGGGCCGGAGAGGUUGCAGAGGGCCAGGGCGAGGGUGGUCAGGUUCCGAAGGUCGCCGAACGAGCCCGGAAUCGGCCCGGACAGGCCUGGGUUAUCGCCGAGCCGGACGACUCGGAGGCCGGAGAGCGAGCCGAGUGAAGGGGGCAUCGUGCCCGAGAGGCGGUUGGAAUAGAGGAAGAGUGUGGUCAGAGCGGAAAGCCUGGCGAGCUGGCUCGGGAUGGUACCUGUGAGGCGAUUGGUGGAGAGGUCGAGGGUGGCGAGUCGGCUCAGCCGGCCGAUGGAAGGGGAGAGGGAGCCGGCCAAGGACGAGGAGGAGAGGUUGAGCGCCACCACCGCGGAGUCCAGGUUGCAGGUGACACCAGUCCAAGAGCAGUGGUCCGGGUUAUCCGAGCUCCAGUCGUCGAGCACCUGCCGCAGGUCCUCCGUGAACGAUUUCUUCACCUCCAGAAGAACUUCCAUGUCCACCGAGUCCAAGUGCCGGCCAAGAGCCAAAGGGGGCACGAAAGAGAUGACGACCACCAGGAGAACAACCAGCAUCAUCCUCUGCAGGACAAGCUUUAGUUCAGUGAUGGCGAGGAACAAGACGAGAAACUCGGCGAGUCACAUGUGAACUCGGCACACAUUAUUAUUGGGCAGGAAGCAGGCUUUUGUGGUUUGAUGUCACCGCUACCUUUGGCUCACGGUAUGAGCCAUGGCAAAGCAUGGCCGACCUCCAUUGCGAGUCACAUGAGGCCAUGAAAAGAGUCUGCACAAUCUUGACUUCAAAUGCUGGUGGUGGUUGGCUCCUUUGAGACGCGACAAAAACAACUGUGGGUGGCUCGUUCCUUCUUCAUUCACUGAGUAGAUAAAUUGAAGGAGUUUCAGCUUUCUCGUCUCUUGUUUGGACACUUGGGCUCAGCAACUUGGUGCAUUUCUUGUCUCUUGUUUUCA